GACGUGUUAUACGGGAUUCUUCCAAUCCCUAACGUCUAAACGGAAACCAUAUUGAGGAGCUGGUCCACCUGUAGGAAGAAUUGCGCUAUUGGUUGGAGCAGCACUAUUCCCCAGCCAUACACCAGCACUUAGUUUGUCAUAGGGAGCAUUUCUGAGCAGUUAUGAAGACCACUAACUAUGCAGUUGUUGCAGUGAAACUUGCACCCAACUCAAAAUCUGACCUUGUAAGGCCAAUAUGAAAUAACUGUGUGGAAAAAUGGGAAAAACCUGCAGUCAGGAAUGCACGGAAAUCAUCAAAAGAACAGUGUUAAAUUAAUCUUGAAUAACUUGACAUUUAUUUUGUUUGACAUAUUUAUUCAUGGUGCAGUGAAAACAUGUUUUUUUUCCUCAUGGUUAUUUAAAUUUAGAAUUGAUAGGAGGGAACAUCAUUAUGUAGUUUCAUGUUCAUAGUCAGAUCAAAAUCCAUGUACAUGUAUAAAUGAGCAUUCG